GUGGGGAAUUUUGGACAAUGGGCGCAAGCCUGAUCCAGCCAUGCCGCGUGAGUGAAGAAGGCCUUCGGGUUGUAAAGCUCUUUCGGCCGGGAAGAAAUCGGCGACUCUAACAUAGUCGCUGGAUGACGGUACCGGACUAAGAAGCACCGGCUAACUACGUGCCAGCAGCCGCGGUAAUACGUAGGGUGCGAGCGUUAAUCGGAAUUACUGGGCGUAAAGCGUGCGCAGGCGGUUUUGUAAGACAGAUGUGAAAUCCCCGGGCUUAACCUGGGAACUGCGUUUGUGACUGCAAGGCUAGAGUACGGCAGAGGGGGGUGGAAUUCCUGGUGUAGCAGUGAAAUGCGUAGAUAUCAGGAGGAACACCGAUGGCGAAGGCAGCCCCCUGGGCCUGUACUGACGCUCAUGCACGAAAGCGUGGGGAGCAAACAGGAUUAGAAACCCUUGUAGUCC
rnacentral:rRNA from 1 species